rnacentral:rRNA from 1 species
GACGAACGCUGGCGGCGUGCUUAACACAUGCAAGUCGAACGGUGAAGCACCUUCCUUUUGGUGGGUGUGGAUGAGUGGCGAACGGGUGAGUAACACGUGAGUAACCUGCCCCCUUCUUCUGGAUAACCGCAUGAAAGUGUGGCUAAUACGGGAUAUUCUGCGCCUGCUGCAUGGUGGGUGUGGGAAAGAUAUUGUUUCGGUGGGGGAUGGGCUCGCGGCCUAUCAGCUUGUUGGUGGGGUGAUGGCCUACCAAGGCGGUGACGGGUAGCCGGCCUGAGAGGGUGGACGGUCACACUGGGACUGAGACACGGCCCAGACUCCUACGGGAGGCAGCAGUGGGGAAUAUUGCACAAUGGGCGCAAGCCUGAUGCAGCGACGCCGCGUGAGGGAUGGAGGCCUUCGGGUUGUAAACCUCUUUCGCCAGUGAAGCAGGCCUGUCCCUUGUGGGUGGGUUGACGGUAGCUGGAUAAGAACG